rnacentral:rRNA from 1 species
GAUGAACGCUGGCCGCGUGCCUAAUACAUGCAAGUAGAACGCUGAAGGAAGGAGCUUGCUCUUUCCGGAUGAGUUGCGAACGGGUGAGUAACGCGUAGGUAACCUGCCUGGUAGCGGGGGAUAACUAUUGGAAACGAUAGCUAAUACCGCAUAACAGUAGAUGUUGCAUGAUAUCUACUUAAAAGGUGCAAUUGCACCACUACCAGAUGGACCUGCGUUGUAUUAGCUAGUUGGUGAGGUAACGGCUCACCAAGGCGACGAUACAUAGCCGACCUGAGAGGGUGAUCGGCCACACUGGGACUGAGACACGGCCCAGUCGCCUACGGGAGGCAGCAGUAGGGAAUCUUCGGCAAUGGACGGAAGUCUGACCGAGCAACGCCGCGUGAGUGAAGAAGGUUUUCGGAUCGUAAAGCUCUGUUGUAGGAGAAGAACGAGUGUGAGAGUGGAAAGUUCACACUGUGACGGUAUCUUACCAGAAAGGGACGGCUAACUACGUG